rnacentral:rRNA from 1 species
UACAGAGGUCUCGAGCGUUAGGCGGAAUCACUGGGCUUAAAGCGUGUGUAGGUGGAUCGUUAAGUACCUUGUGAAAUCCCUCGGCUUAACCGGGAACUGCGUCUGAUACUGGAUGGCUUGAGUUUGGGAGAGGGAUGCGGAAUUCCAGGUGUAGCGGAUGAAUGCGUAGAUAGUCUGGAGGAACACCGGUGGCGAAGGCGGCAUCCUGGACCAACACUGACGCUGAGGAGCGAAAGCCAGGGAGGCAAACAGGG